ACCUUCUUGUUGAAAAGCACUGCAUCAGGUUUUUGUCUUCUUGCUUUGUCCAGUCCUCUUUGGAGUGGUAUACUCACUAUACUUAUUAUAUAAUAAACAAUGAAUUUUGUCCAAGUCUGCCUUAAAAGUAAAGGAACUAAUGAUAUAAAGGAGAAAAUUGAAAGACAAUGUCAAACUAUUGGGUGACUUAUGUGAAAAGACCAUGAAUAAUCAUUUACAAGAUUGUGCAGUAUCCACUUCAGAAGCAACUUAAUGAAGAGCUGAUGUUUGAAUGUAUUAAUCAUUAGUUCACUUUUUACUGUUCUAGAUGAUGGCAAUGUGGAUUCUCAUGGUCAUUUGAAACCCAUGGGGGAAAAUGGCUCUUCCUGUAUUCAGGCCCUUUGUAGUGUGACUUUGUGGCAACUCCCAUCAAUAGGUAGAUUAUUGUUUACCCCUCAAAUCUGGGUUGGCCACUAUGACUUUCUUUGUCUGACAGCAUGUAGGAGAAGUAUUGUUGUGGCAUUUCCGAACCUAGACCUCAAAAAGGCCUUGCCCUUGUCUUUCUUCUCUUAGACCCUGUCCAUCAGCCAGGUGAGCAAGCCUGGGCUAGUUAGCUGAAGGAUAAGAGACCAUGUGGAGGAAGCCAGAGGAGCCAUCCAUCUGGGGCCACCCAAGGUCAGCCAGCACCUCUAAUCACAGAGCCACGAGGGAGUUAGCCCAGAUUUAGAAGGUGAGGAUAUUGACUUCAUCUCUUGAUGCAAGGAGUUGCAGUUACAUUGCAAAGGGAUGCAGAUACAGGGAAGGUUGGAGAAUUGCAGCCACUUUUGCACAAUCUACCACAACUACUGCAUUGUAGCUGCUAUGCACAUUAAAUAAGUAAAGACAUAUGAAACAUUUAUAUCAGGUCCUGACAACAAAUAAGUGUUCAACAAGUGUGAGCUAUUAUUACUGUUUCUAAAAUGGAUCCCUUAUCAUGGAGAAGGUCAAAUUAAUGCUGCCGUGCCUCUUACUCUUAGAAACUGACACUGAAAGUUCCCACAUAACUGAGGUUCAAUCUAUGAGCACAUCCAGAAACUCAAGUGAGGGAAAAUGCAAUCAAACCACAUAUGAAAAAUCAAUAGAUCCCUAAAUAAUCUUUCCCUCCUGAAUGGAAGCAACACAUUUGAAAACUCUUCUCCCUCCACCCCUACCAAAAAAAAAAAAAAAAAAAAAAAAAGCAGUGCAUGUUGCCUCUUCUAUUCAGGCUGUGACCAAAGGUUUCAAUGGUAAAGAUGACUCAUACCUUAAAGAACUAGAAGAAUUUUUUUUAUGGCUUCUCUAUCCAUUGUCUUGCUCUCAUAAAACUGCUGAAUGACACCCAAGUGUAAAACCCACCAAAGAAAUAAGCGCUGGAUGACAUGUGGCAGAUUUUCCAACUCUCCAGGAAAAACUUCAGAUCAACUUGUUUCUCUGGAAACUACUCACAUCCGGGGGCUGUCCCUGUCCCCUGGGACUCAUAAACGUUCCUAUCUUCAAGGCACAGUUACCUGAGCAAGUGAUCCUGAUAUGUAGGUGCUGUUGGCCUCCAGUCUCACACAUCAACUCACCAAUCAUGGAGAAGAAGUUAGAUGACUUCCUGUCACCUGUCAUUUGUGCAUUUUCUCCAAAUCCUCAAUCCCUUCCAGUCAAUUUGAAAAUAGAAGGCUUGGCAAGGUGGCUCACAACUGUAUUCUUCUUAGCACUUUGGGAGGCUGAAGUGGGAGGAUCAUUUGAGCCCAGGAGUUUGAGAUCAUCCUGGACAACACAGUGAGACUCCAUCUCUACAAGAUAAAUAAAUAAAUAAAUAAAUAAAUAAAUAAAUAAAUAAAUAAGCCUGGCGCGGUGGCACAUGCCAGUAGUCCCAGCUACUUGGGAAGCUGAGGUGGAAGGAUCGCUUGAGCCCAGGAGGUCGAAGCUGUGGUUGUGAUCAUACCACUGCACUCCAGCGUGAGCAACAAAGACAAGUUUAAAUCCUGGCCCAGCAAAGAGAAGGGCUCUGGACCUGAGAUCAUCCAUCAUGGACAACCUCUCUGCCAAGAAAAGCCCAGGGCUACUUCCUUAGGAAGGGUCUUUGGACCAGGGCAUUUCAGCAAGAAGGGGAAAAUUGGACAUGACUGGCACUUAAACAAACCCAACAGGUGCAGACUGUAAAUUGGCAAAGUGACAUCAUCAGUAGAAAAUCAGACUACAGAAAUCGAGAAGCUUGGCAUAGCCCUUCUCUUUCCAGUCCACUUGACCUGGUGCUAACCACACAACUGCCUUAAGCCUUAAUUUUCUCAUGGAGAUGGAAAUGGGUUAUUGGGAAAUUCAAAUCAGAUAAUUUACGUGAAAAUAUGUUAUAAUCUCUGAGAUGUAAAGCGUGACCACCAGAGUUUAAAAAGAAUAGAAGCAAGAAGACAAGCUGAGUCACUAACUUGCCAGGGAAGUGAACACACUCCAGGGAAGAAAUUCACUCAAUGAUUCCAACUCUGGCAGCAGAUAGCUGCCAAGCUGUUAGCAAUCCUGUGGAUGAAGCCACAUGGCAAGCAAGCGAUUGUUGCUUACCCAGCAACAGCCAGUGAAGACCUGAGACCUCCUACCAGCACCCACAUGAGGGAGCUUGGAAGCGGAUCCUCUCCAGUCAAGCCUUGAGAUGACAGCAGCCCCAGCUGAUAUCUUGAUUGCAGCCUCAUGAGAUCCUGAGUCAGAGGCACUCAGCUUAAGCUACAGCCUGGAUUCCUGACUCAGAGAAACUGAGAUAAUAAGUGUUUGUUGUCUUAUGCCAUUAAGUUUC
rnacentral:lncRNA from 1 species